rnacentral:rRNA from 1 species
ACGCUCGACACCUACGGGGGCAGCAGUAGGGAAUCUUCCGCAAUGGACGAAAGUCUGACGGAGCAACGCCGCGUGAACGAUGAAGGUUUUCGGAUCGUAAAGUUCUGUUGUUAGGGAAGAACAAACUUCGUUUGAAUAAGGCGGAGUCAUGACGGUACCUAACGAGAAAGCCACGGCUAACUACGUGCAGCAGCCGCGGUAAUCUGAGCGGGCUGGCAAGGC